rnacentral:rRNA from 1 species
UACGGAGGGUGCGAGCGUUGUCCGGAAUCAUUGGGCGUAAAGGGCGCGUAGGUGGCCCGGUCAGUUCGUGGUGAAAGCGCGGGGCUCAACCCUGCGUCGGCCAUGAAUACUGCCGCGGCUGGAGCACUGUAGAGGCAGGCGGAAUUCCGGGUGUAGCGGUGGAAUGCGUAGAGAUCCGGAGGAAGACCGGUGGCGAAGGCGGUCUGCUGGGCAGUUUCUGGACACUGAGGCGCGACAGCGUGGGGAGCAAACAGGG